CGAAGUACUCUGCAGGUUUGUGAGCACUUAAGUACCUCCUCGCUGCUUUCAAGCUCACACACUGUGCAAAUUAGCACAUGGCGCAUGUGUUUGUGUGCCUGUGUUUUGGCCUCAGUGUCCAAGCUGAGCCUGUUCAGGAUGCCGGAGAGGAGACUGACGUAGUUACGGAUCUCAGCCCCGUUCCCAAGCUGCACUAGAACAGAGAGGUUCCUCAGACUUUCCUCGGAACUGGAGACAACAAAUAGCACAGCAUAUCGUACAGUAUGCAUAUUGGGAAAGCUCCAGACCAGGAUCAUGAUGGGAAGAAGAAGAAGAAGACAUGUCUCUGAAGAAACCUGGUUGGACUUGGACACUGACAGGACAGGGUUUGGUGUACGACCCAUAUGCACCGUUGCUGAUCUCUGUAUAAAUAGUCACUAUAGAAACGACAACAGAAAAUUACUUCACUUGGUCAUCGCUGGGGUCACCUGAGGGAAGGCUGAAGUAAUACUGGAAGUCUCUGCCCUGGUAUAGUGUCCUGGGUGGUUUGUCUCCUACACUGAAGCUGUACUUAUACAGGUUUCGGAGUAAGUCGAGCAAAGUUGGCUCCUGGAUCAGCACAGACAGCAGCUUGGAAUCCACCAGAUUACUCCCCUCAUCUUCGUGUAAAGCUGGAUUGAAUGCCAAGUCAUCUCCUGCACUGACGUCUUCACCAUCUACACCUACGCAGCUUAGAUGAAGCGUUGACCAGGUAGAGACUCCAGGAGUACCGGAUGUGUUCUGCAGGUUUUGUUAACUCAUACCUGACUGGGUUUGAUGUGACGGUGAGGAAGGUCUCUGACGAGGCUGAACGCUCUCCGCUGUGGACGGUGAGCGUGAACUGGAACUGGUCAAAGUUGUGUUUCAAGAAAUCAACGGGAAAUUCGAGCAGAGGGGCCGAAGUGGGAACGUGUUGGUCGAAACAGUGCGUGGGGAUGGAGCUGACUGGCUUACAUGUCCAGCUGUAGCUAUAGUAGAGAUAAAUGGAAAGGUUGGUGACAUGAUUUCAGAAUGACAUGAACAAAUACAGGAAACACAAAGGGACU